rnacentral:rRNA from 1 species
UACGGAGGGGGCAAGCGUUGUCCGGACUUACUGGGCGUAAAGGGUGCGUAGGCGGCCUGCUGCGUCGGUGCUGAAAGCGCCCGGCUUAACCGGGCGAGGCGUGCCGAUACGAGCGGGCUGGAGCCUUGGCGAGGGUGGCGGAACUCCUGGUGUAGUGGUGAAAUGCGUAGAGAUCCGGAGGAACCCCAGAGGCGAAGGCGGCGCCCUGGCUCGCAACUGACGCUCAGACACGACAGCAUGGGGAGCGAACGGG